AUGGAGGUGCACCGGCUCCACCUCUCCAGGGUCGCUGCCAGACCUGAACGUGUGAGAAGACCGAGAAGGAGGCCCCGGCUCAACGGCCUCCAACCUCUUCCAGUCCUCCUCCCACCGUGGCUUGGGCCUUUUGUACCCGCCCCACGUGACCCCGCCGGCCGGCUCUUCCCUGCUGCCCCGCCCCGCCCAGCUCUUCCCGCUCUCGGCCUCCCCCCUCCCGCGCUGCCGGGUCUCCACCUCCCCUUGCCUCCCGCCCCAGGCUCUUCCCGCUCCCUCCCACAAGCAGCCGUUCCCUCGCGACGCUCCCCUCCCCACGCGGCUGUUCCGCCGCCUCGCCUCCCCUCCCCCCGUCCAGAACUCACUGUCUCCAAGAUGGCGGCCGUGUCAGUUUGGGACAUUUCAGCGGUCCGGCCUGGGGUCUCUCCUUUCUCCCGGCAGAGAGAAAAGAAGAAAGAUGAGAGAGAGAGCUUCCACGAGGACUGUGGAAGGGGACCAAAGUAUGGAAUCCUGGAGAGGAAAGCAGCUUCCACACUGCGUGGAAGGGAACCCCAGAGGGGGACAUUCCUGACAGAGAGAAAGCUUCCACAAGGAUGGUGGAAGGGGACCCAAAGAUGGAAUCGAAGGAGCGAGUCCCUGGUGGUCACGGCCUGGGUUUCGAAGGAGGCUUCCUCUGGAAACAGGCACAGGGUAUCAUAACCUGAAGCUGCCACUUCUCUUCCACGUGAAG
rnacentral:lncRNA from 1 species